ACAGAAAAUUGAAAAUCUGAAGGAGACUACUUGUAGCAUGGUAGAGUCCAUCAAGCACUGUAUCGUUCUGCUGCAAAUCGCCAAGGACCAAAGUAACGAACAGCAACACGCAAACGGACUUAUAG